GCGCACGCGCGGCCAUCAGCUUGGUCCCAGGUGGAGCUGUUUUAGCCGAGCUGGCGCCGCCGUCAGCCUCCGAGAUGGGCGCGGCAGAGGCUGACCGCUGGGCUUGGCUGCUGGUGCUCAGCUUCGUGUUUGGGUGCAAUGUACUCAGGAUCCUCCUCCCGUCCUUCUCCUCCUUCACGUCCAGGGUGCUGCAGAAGGACGUGGAGCAGGAGUCUCAGAUGCGAGCAGAGAUUCAGGGUAUGAAGCAGGAGCUCUCCACCGUCAACGUGAUGGACGAGUUUGCCAGAUACGCCAGGCUGGAGAGAAAGAUCAACAAGAUGACUGAUAAGCUCAAAACUCACGUGAAAGCACGGACAGCUCAGUUGCCUAAGAUAAAAUGGGUUAUAAGUGUUGCUUUCUACAUAUUGCAAGCUGCCCUGAUGGUCACACUCAUCUGGACAUACUACUCUGUCCCUGUGACCGUGGUGCCGAGUAGAUGGAUAACUCCACUAGAACCCCUCGUAGCAUUUCCCACUGGAGUAGCAGGGCUUGCAGCAAAGGAACAGACGCCUAGAGAACUUACGUGUCCAGUGUCACCGAAAUGUGAAGUAGCAGGGCUACAGUUCAACCCAAGCCUGCCUCAGUAUUCCAAGCCCAAUACCUGGGGUCUGAUACCCCAUUUAUUGAAACACCACCUCUGGUUCCCAAAUUCUGUGACUCCUUUUCAAUUCACACUAUGCUUAGCCCCUCUGCAGCAUUUCCUGCUAUCGGCCAUUCUUUCACUUCUGAAAGAAUUUCUUUUGGGUUUUAAAAUUAGUACAUGUCAUCGUAGAAUGAUUAGAAAUAUAAGAAAAAACUUUUUAAAAGACUCAGUAGCUAUGGAUAACCCCUCUUAA